GAUGAACGCUGGCGGCGUGCCUAAUACAUGCAAGUCGAGCGAAAGCACGAGAAGCUGGCUCUUGUGAUGUUAGCGGCGGACGGGUGAGUAACAUGUGGAUAACCUACCUAUAAGACUGGGAUAACUUCGGGAAACCGGAGAUACUACCGGAUAAUAUUUUGAACCGCAGGGUGCAAAAGUGAAAGACGGCCUUGCUGUCACUUAUAGACGGAUCCGCGCUGCAUUAGCUGGUUGGUAAGGUAACGCCUUGCCAAGGAAACGUUGCAUAGCCGACCUGAGGGGGUGAUCGGCCCCCCGGGACCUGGGCCCCGGUCCGACCCCCUCCGGGGGGCGGCGGUGGGGAUUCUUCCGCAAUGGGCGAAAGCCUGUCGGAGCAACGCCGCGUGAGUGAUGAAGGUCUUCGGUUCGUAAGACUCUGUUAUUAGGGAAGAACAUAUGUGUAAGUAACUGUGCGCAUCUGGCCGUUACCUAAUCAGAAGGCCCCGGCUACCUCCGU
rnacentral:rRNA from 1 species